rnacentral:tRNA from 1 species
GCCUCGGUGGCCUAGUCUGGUAGGGCAUCGCCUUGGUAAGGCGAGGGUCGCGGGUUCGAAGCCCGCCCGAGGCUCCA